UGCAAUUCUCUGUCUGUCCCUUGGCUCGGAACAGAGAAGGGGGGGAGUGGUGGUGGCGCGGGGGCUGGGGAGGGGCUACGGGGGGUCUCCUCGCCCCCUCCCCGCCUCGUCCCAGCCCUGAGUGCCGCGCCAGGAGGGGUCGAGGGAAUGUUGUGGGCUGGGACACACCCGGGAUGACACACACUGGAGGCAGCAAGAAACGUCACCCCGGGCCCAGGGCCCUCUCCUCCCGGCUCCCCGGCCCGCCAGCCCCGCUGAGCACGCCCUCCCUAGCGCCCGCUCCGGCCCGGGCAGCCCCAGGGCUGACAGCCUGGCCCCUGGCCCUGGACGCUUGCACGUUCCCUCUCCGGGUCGCUGCUUCAGCCUCCGCUUUGGGGAAGGUGCACCCGACUCCUACUCCCCCGGGGCCCCUGCGCCCUCGGGGGCGCCCUCCUCACCCCGACGGCCGGCCGAGUUCGCGCCCCUCCCGGGACGGUUGGAGAGCACAAACUUUUGAGUGGAUCAAAAUCAAGAGGAGCCGGCCCGGAGCAGAAAAUCCUUCCUCCCUUCCAGCCAUCUGCAGGCCUGCCCUAGCCCCUGCGGGUGGAGUUGCUGUUGCCCCAAGGCCAUUGCUCUCACAGGGGGUCCUCUUGCUCUUGGAUGGCGAGGCUGGUUGAUUCUGGCUCUUGGCCGUCUCUCCAGCCCUGACUAGCCAGGCCCAUCGCCAUCCACAUCUGCUCAGAAGGGAGCAGAGAAGGGAGGUCGCUCACUCCAGGCCUUCGCGGAGCAGAUGCAGACCUCUGCCCAGAGCUGCUCCCUUGCCCCUACCUGGCCGGCUGGGAAGGAGGAACCCAGUUCACUUCUCAGGACCUGGAUGUCUGCGCAGAGCCUGCAGCUGCAGCUGCCUCCUGGAGCCUGACACCGGAAGCGCCUUCUGCCUUGGGGUUCUCCGUGACGCCUGGGCCUCUUCUCUGUUCAGUUUGCUGUUGUGCUUUUUUCCCCUCACUUGGGGUGGGGCUGGGGAACAGGGAAAUGAAAUGUUUUUCUCCGUGUCCCUAAUCCUUCCCCAGAGCCCCCCCCCAAACCUCCAAGCAGCUGAUGGUAAGGACCUGCAGCUUCCGGCCCUGCUCGGAAGCAAACUCAGAUUCUCUCCUGGGCACGGAGGAGCAGCAGAGGCUCCUCCCUCAGGCCUCCCUUGCUCAUUGACCCACUCUGAGGGCAUUUGGGGGUCAAAAUUGAGCCCAGAUUGCUUCAAUUGGUAUAAAAUUGGCAUUUUUUAAUCACACCAAAGACCCAGACUUCUCGCAUCAAGGACUAGGCGGUCCUCACCCCGAACUGCACCUCUUCUCUGGCCUCUCACACCAGGGAUGGUAAGGUGUGGUGAGUGGAGGACUGGAAGGGGAGCGAGCAGUCUGCUCUGUGGACAAGUCAGUAGCUUCAGCUGUUCGUGCCCCCGAUAUUUAUUUAACACGUAGUAUGUGCAAAGCAUGGCCUCUGCCUCCGUCUGUCACGGCUGUCAAAAAAGAUUCUUGCCAGUGUGCGGCUUCAAUGCGUGUGGACAAAUACCUGAAUAAACCGGUGAAUGGGAAAGAGA